rnacentral:rRNA from 1 species
UUGACCUCAAAUCAGGUAGGACUACCCGCUGAACUUAAGCAUAUCAAUAAGCGGAGGAAAAGAAACUAACAAGGAUUCCCCUAGUAACUGCGAGUGAAGCGGGAAAAGCUCAAAUUUGAAAUCUGGCAGCUCUUUGAACUGUCCGAGUUGUAAUCUAGAGAAGUGUUACCUGUGUUGGACCGUGUACAAGUCUCCUGGAAUGGAGCGUCACAGAGGGUGAGAAUCCCGUCUUUGACACGGACUGCCUGCACGUUAUGGUGCGCUCUCAAAGAGUCGAGUUGUUUGGGAAUGCAGCUCAAAAUGGGUGGUAAAUGCCAUCUAAAGCUAAAUAUUGGCGAGAGACCGAUAGCGAACAAGUACCGUGAGGGAAAGAUGAAAAGAACUUUGGAAAGAGAGUUAAACAGUACGUGAAAUUGCUGAAAGGGAAACGCUUGAAGUCAGUCGCGUCGGCUAGAAAUCAACCUUGCUUUUGCUUGGUGUACUUU